rnacentral:misc_RNA from 1 species
CAAGUUAUGUGGAUGAUAGC